rnacentral:lncRNA from 1 species
ACAAUGAGAAAAGAGACUAGGAUUCAAUACUGAUAUCCUAUAAACCCCCUGCGGGGCUAACCCCAUGUAAACCCCUUCGGAUAGUUAACGUGAAAUCGAGAUCGAGAGUUGGUUUCUAUAAUCUCAUAAGUGACUAAUGAAACUAGUUAGCGGAAAAAGCUAAUGGCAGAUCGAAUGAGUAGAGCAUUCAGUAAUGUUAAAAAGUAACCGGAUCAUUCUCACUUUAGCUUUAGAGCUUUUUGUCCCCUAGCUUAUAGUAGACAAGACGGCAUUAGUUGGGAUAAUGACUUCACGAGAGCAAGAAGCUUGGGAUAGGGCGAUCUAUCUGUUGUAAGAAGCCCAAGAUCCACUAUUACGAAGUCGGAGUAGUGACCCCGCUAAGAUUGACCUUCUAGUCACUCAUGCGAAACG